rnacentral:rRNA from 1 species
GAGUUUGAUCGUGGCUCAGGAUGAACGCUGGCGGCGUGUCUAAUACAUGCAAGUAGGAACGCUGAAGCUUGGUGCUUGCACCGAGCGGAUGAGUUGCGAACGGGUGAGUAACGCGUAGGUAACCUGCCUGGUAGCGGGGGAUAACUAUUGGAAACGAUAGCUAAUACCGCAUAACAGUAGAUAUUGCAUGAUAUCUGCUUGAAAGGUGCAAUUGCAUCACUACCAGAUGGACCUGCGUUGUAUUAGCUAGUUGGUGAGGUAACGGCUCACCAAGGCGACGAUACAUAGCCGACCUGAGAGGGUGAUCGGCCACACUGGGACUGAGAC